rnacentral:ncRNA from 1 species
UCUUAUCAAGAGUGGCGGAGGGAUCGGCCCCGUGAAGCCCGGCAACCCCCCGGAGUCGGAGCGACUCUGGAAAUGGUGCUAAGUCCGGCGAGUUUUUUGAACUCGCAGAGAUGAGA